GACGAACGCUGGCGGCAUGCCUAACACAUGCAAGUCGAACGAGAUCUUCAGGUCUAGUGGCGCACGGGUGCGUAACGCGUGGGAAUCUGCCCUUUGGUUCGGAAUAACAGUUGGAAACGACUGCUAAUACCGGAUGAUGACGAAAGUCCAAAGAUUUAUCGCCAGAGGAGGAGCCCGCGUAGGAUUAGCUAGUUGGUGUGGUAAAGGCGCACCAAGGCGACGAUCCUUAGCUGGUCUGAGAGGAUGAUCAGCCACACUGGGACUGAGACACGGCCCAGACUCCUACGGGAGGCAGCAGUGGGGAAUAUUGGACAAUGGGCGAAAGCCUGAUCCAGCAAUGCCGCGUGAGUGAUGAAGGCCUUAGGGUUGUAAAGCUCUUUUACCCGGGAUGAUAAUGACAGUACCGGGAGAAUAAGCUCCGGCUAACUCCGUGCCAGCAGCCGCCGUAA
rnacentral:rRNA from 1 species